AGCUUUGUGCAGUGGCAGUAUCGUAGCCAAUGAGGUUUAUCCAAGGCGCGAUUAUUGCUAAUUGAAAACUUUUCCCAAUACCCCACCAUGGUGACUUGAAAUAUAGUUGGCAUUGGCAAUUUUUUACUGUCUCUAUGGAGA
rnacentral:snRNA from 1 species